rnacentral:rRNA from 1 species
AUUGAACGCUGGCGGCAUGCCUUACACAUGCAAGUCGAACGGUAACGGGCCUUCGGGUGCCGACGAGUGGCGAACGGGUGCGUAAUACAUCGGAACGUGCCCGAUCGUGGGGGAUAACGAGGCGAAAGCUUUGCUAAUACCGCAUACGAUCUACGGAUGACAGCAGGGGACCGCAAGGCCUUGCGCGGACGGAGCGGCCGAUGGCAGAUUAGGUAGUUGGUGGGAUAAAAGCUUACCAAGCCGACGAUCUGUAGCUGGUCUGAGAGGAUGAUCAGCCACACUGGGACUGAGACACGGCCCAGACUCCUACGGGAGGCAGCAGUGGGGAAUUUUGGACAAUGGGCGCAAGCCUGAUCCAGCCAUGCCGCGUGCAGGAUGAAGGCCUUCGGGUUGUAAACUGCUUUUGUACGGAACGAAAAGCCUUCUUUUAAUACAGGAGGGUCAUGACGGUACCGUAAGAAUAAGCACCGGCUAACUACGUG